rnacentral:rRNA from 1 species
AUGUUUGCAGAUGUCACUAUUGCACAAUGCAAAAGAGCCAAAAAAUUAGUGACGGAGAAAUACAAAGAUACCACCAAAGGAGAAUAUUCCUUGGUUUUUGACUACCAAUUGGAAUUGCUGAGAACUAACCCAGGUAGCACUGUUGCUAUCAAACUGGCAGAUGAUGUGAAGGAUGAUGAGCAUGUUUUUGAGAGGUUUUACAUGUGCUUUGGUGCUAUUAAGAAAGGAUUUCUUGCUGGCUGCAGAAAGGUUAUAGGACUAGAUGGAUGUUUCUUCAAAGGAGCUUGCUUUGGUCAGCUACUUGUUGCUUUGGGAAGAGAUACCAAUAAUCAGAUGUACCCUGUAGCUUGGGCUGUAGUCGAAAAAGAAACAUAUGAGUCCUGGUUCUGGUUUGUUGAGAAGUUAAACAGAGACCUCAAAAUCAGCAAUCAAGGGGAUGGGUGGGUGUUCAUCUCAGAUCAGCAGAAAGGACUAAUAGGGCUAUAG